rnacentral:lncRNA from 1 species
CAAGAAUACAUGUUUAUUCACAGUCACCACCACAUGCACACAAGGCAGUGCACGGGAGACCCGAUUUUCCACAUUAACAAUGACCACGGCAUCCUUUCUUACAUCCACCAUGUACCAAGCUUCUGACAAAAUGAUAAGACAUCAGAAAGAGUUUUUUUUUAAGGGAUCCUCUUUGUCCCUUCGCCAUCCAUUAGUGCCUGGACUGGGUAGCAUAAGAGCCAGUCCCAAGCUCGUCCCCUAAACACCU